GGUCCGUCUUGCCACAGGUUCCAACAGGAUGCUCGCUAAUUGUCAACGAAGCUCUUGGAUCUUUCAGUGCAUUUCUUGCAGUCGGAUCAAGAGUUGUCAAGUAGAAGUAAGGGAUACCACUGCCUUUUCCAGGUUCUCCAUCGCUAAAUGAAACCACAUUCCUGCAUCAUAUUUUCAAAUUACUUUAUCCGAGAGACUUCAUAGGCGUUGUAGUGGCGUAUAGGUUUCAUUAACCACUUGAGAUCGAUGCAAGAGUUUGAGGCAAACAUAGAGCAUGAUUGGGAGGAAAGGCAUAACAAAUGGAUAUAUUCAAACGAGAAUCACAGAGCGAAGAGAGCUGCAUUAUGCAUUACGCACACACUGUCCUACCGGUGGUAAUUUUCAUCUUACUGGAAACUUGUUCUUCCUAUAGGGCACAAGUACUAAACAAAGAAAGGAAACUAAACAUUAGGAGUGUAUGUCUUGCCACGAACGAACCCUGCAAAACAUUUUGCUUUUCCCUAAACUUGUACUUACGAGGGCGGACACUAGACAUAAAUACUAGAAUUCAGUAGUAUAUCUAACGCGGUAAUAUAUAUAACAAAAAAAAAGAAGUCUUACCCGAAGGGUGCUCCUUCCAAUUCACUUGAGAUAGUACUGUGAAGGAAACAAAAAUCACAAGUAAGCAUCAAAUGUCUAAGCUUCCAAACACAAAUAAUAUUGAUUACAAAAACUAAGUUGAUAUUUCUCAAGGAGCACUUGGGAUUUUAAUGAAAAUAUCAACUACUUUCUAAUGAAAACACUUCUAACAUAGGGCUCGUUUGGAACUGCUUUUAAAAUAGCAGAAAGCGUUUUUUAUGAAAAUGUUUUUAGAACCAAUCUUUAGGAAAAAUGCAUGUGAAUCCUGCAAAAGCACUUGAAAUGCUUCCUACAAGAAUCACAUGACUGGAACCCAGAAACUACUUUUGGAGCUCAAAAACAUUUCUGGCUUUCGGUCAUUUUAAACUGAAUUCUAACGAGUUUAUAAACACUUAUGAACUAAAGUUCUUCUUACAUAAGUAAUCAUUAACGACCCCAACAAGUGCUUCCGUAACCAGAAGCACGUUUAACUCUUACUGUCGCUAAAAGCACUUUCUAACAACCAAUUUACAAGCAAGUAAAGAUUCUACAACAUCCAAACAUGUUUGAAUUUCAUCACAAACACACGAGCUUCGAAAUCAGAUCUCCAAUUUGACCAAUAAGAACCAAAUUAAAAUCACACUAAUUUGGUUCUCUAAUCAUUAAACAUAAUCAUAGCCAAAAACCCCCCAAAUUAACCGAAAGCAAUCUUCCCACGACAGUAAAAAGUAAAAAAAAACCAACAGAAACAACACGAAAUUACAAGAAAGUAAAGAGAUUCUUACUUCAAGACGCCCCAGGAAUUCUGAGCGACCAACCAGCGAGCAGUGGCGGAAGCAUUUUCCGGGUCGGGUUUCUUCAGCAAGAGAACCCGCCCAUCCACAGGCAGUUGGAUACCCGACGGUAGAGAAACCAAGUAGACUGCGAACGCGAAGUGAACAAGCCCUUUGAUCGUCGUCGUCGUCAUCGG
rnacentral:lncRNA from 1 species